UACCGUACCGUAAACCGACACAGGUGGGUGGGGAGAACAUCCCAAGGCGCUUGAGAGAACUCGGGUUAAGGAACUCGCAAAUUGACACCGUAACUUCGGGAGAAGGUGUGCCCUUGAGGGUGAUCGGCUUCGCGCCGCGAGCCUUUGGGGGUUGCAGAGAAUCGGGGGUAGCGACUGUUUAUCAAAAACACAGGACUCUGCGAAGUCGCAAGACGACGUAUAGGGUCUGACGCCUGCCCGGUGCUGGAAGGUUAACAGGAGAUGUCAGGGCAACCGAAGCAUCGAAUCGAAGCCCCAGUAAACGGCGGCCGUAACUAUAACGGUCCUAAGGUAGCGAAAUUCCUUGGUGGGUAAGUUCCGUCCUGCACGAAUGGCGAAACGACUUCCCCACUGUCUCGACCCGGGACUCAGCGUAAUUGAAAUCGGGGUGAAGAUGCCCCGUACCCGCGGAAAGACGGAAAGACCCCGUGAACCUUUACUGCAGCUUGGCACUGGUUUUCGGAUUUGUCUGUGUAGGAUAGGUGGGAGGCUGUGAAGUGGGGCCGCUAGGUUCCACGGAGCCAACGUUGAAAUACCACCCUGACAAAUCUGAAAGCCUAACCGUGACCCGUAAGCCGGGUCCGGAACACUGCCUGGUGGGUAGUUUGACUGGGGCGGUCACCUCCGAAAAAGUAACGGAGGCGCGCAAAGGUUCCCUCAGGCUGAUUGGAAACCAGCCGUAGAGUGUAAAAGCACAAGGGAGCUUGACUGCAACUCAUACGAGAGGAGCAGGUACGAAAGUAGGCUUUAGUGAUCCGGUGGUUCUGAAUGGAAGGGCCAUCGCUCAACGGAUAAAAGGUACUCCGGGGAUAACAGGCUUAUCACGCCCAAGAGUUCACAUCGACGGCGUGGUUUGGCACCUCGAUGUCGGCUCAUCGCAUCCUGGGGCUGUAGUAGGUCCCAAGGGUUUGGCUGUUCGCCAAUUAAAGCGGUACGCGAGCUGGGUUCAAAACGUCGUGAGACAGUUUGGUCCCUAUCUUCCGUGGGCGCAGGAGUCUUGAAGUGGAUCUGUCCCUAGUACGAGAGGACCGGGAUGGACGAACCCCUGGUGUUCCGGUUGUUUUGCCAGAGGCAUUGCCGGGUAGCUAUGUUCGGAACGGAUAACCGCUGAAAGCAUCUAAGCGGGAAGCCAACCACAAGAUGAGGACUCCCUGAAGGCCCGUUGUAGACUACGACGUUGAUAGGCUGGGUGUGGAAGUGCGGCAACGCAUGGAGCUAACCAGUACUAAUUGGCCGUUUGGCUU
rnacentral:rRNA from 1 species